AAUUACGUCCUGGAAGCACCGCUAGGUGCCAGGCCUGCUGCAGGUGCUGCUGAUGACGUUAAGAACUUCUGGCAGAGUAAAGCUGAUGACUACUCGAUAGUUCAAUGUGCCAUGCUUUACGGCUUAGAACCGGGACUUCAACGAUGUUUUGAACGUCAUGGAGCAUAUGAGAUGUUCCAGGAGUUGAAGUUAAUAUUUCAAGAAAAUGCCCGGAUUGAGAGAUAUGAAGUCUCCAAUAAGUUCUAUAGCUGCAAAAUGGAGGAGAAUAGUUCUGUCAGUGAACAUAUACUCAGAAUGUCUGGGUACCACAACCACUUG
rnacentral:rRNA from 1 species